UACAGAGGGUGCGAGCGUUAAUCGGAAUUACUGGGCGUAAAGCGCGCGUAGGCGGCUUUGCAAGUCGGGUGUGAAAUCCCCAGGCUUAACCUGGGAACUGCAUUCGAGACUGCAUUGCUAGAGUAUGGGAGAGGGAAGUGGAAUUACCGGUGUAGCGGUGAAAUGCGUAGAUAUCGGUAGGAACACCAGUGGCGAAGGCGGUCUCCUGGGGCAUUCUUGACGCUGAGGCGCGAAAGCUGGGGGAGCGAACGGG
rnacentral:rRNA from 1 species